UUAAAAAUAAAAAUUAAGAAGGAAAAAAGAAGACCGAGAAAUUUGAAUAUGGAUUUGGUGUUAGGUGAUACCAGGAGAUUGUUGUCAAGCUCAUUGGUAUAUAAAGAUGGUCCUGUGUCUAGAUUGAAAAAAACAAAACAAAGCCCAGUUUAAAAAAAAAAAAAAAUACAUACUGGGGUGGGGAGUGAAAUAACAGGAAGUCAGGAAUUGCAUUAGAAAAAAAAAAAAAAGAUGAAGCCAAUGCAGCAAAAUCUUGCUAAUUGUCAGGUACAUGGGUUCAUUAUACUGGUUUUUUCUACUAGGUUAUUAUACAAUUAUACCACUGUAAUUGUAUGUUCAAAAUUUUUCAUUAAAAUGUUAAGAAAUUAACAAAAAAAAAAUGGGGCAGAAACUCCUAAAGCAGAAGAGUCAGGUUUUCCCUUGAUCUUUUUAUUCCUCCUUUUCUAGCUGCGGUCAACUUGGGCAACGGAACUCUCUGGGGCCUUUUCAACCACUCCAGAACUGGACCGUGACCUUCACUGGCUCAAUGACAAUUUACUGUCUUUAGGAUUUUCAUUUAUUCUCUUUACGUACUGGGUCUGAAAACAACUAGAAGGAAGCCUUUAAGCCUUGGGUUGUGCUAGACACUUUCAUAAGGUCUGGGCGGGGCAGGAGGAAGAGGGGAGGACGAUCCUGGUGGGGGGAAGGGCAAGCAGACCGGCCAGGCUUGGUGCCCUUGUGAGGCUUACACGGGGUGCUCCAGGCAGCGUGUCAGGGACUGGCUUAGAAACCCUUGGGUUGAGCGCAGGGUGUUGUAUGGAAACCAAUUUGACAAUAAAUUUCAUAUAUUGAAAAAAAAAGAAACGCAAAAAACCCCCACAAGAAACCCGCAGAGAAGAGGAGGGGAAAACAGCGCAAAAGACAAAAGCAAAACCAGGUAGCUGGGAGAUGGUGGGAAAACACUGACGUUGGACUGAAGGGUUGGCUUGGACGACUUGACCUCUCUGGGCUUUAGGAACUUCACCCCCCCCCCCCCCGCCCUCCUCAGCGUGGCACCGGUAAAAAUCCCUCCCCGACAGCUACUCAGGGAAGAGGAAUCGGGUCUGAGUUUAGAAAGCAAAUAUUUAUUGAGAAUCUACUCCGUGCCAGGUGCUGUUAUAGGUAACAGCAACACAGGGAUUAAUAAAAUAAGAGUUUUGCCUUUGAGAAACUCUUAUUUCCACGUGUACUUGGCCAUGCUGACGAAGUGAGUGAGGAUAUAGAAACGAACUAAAAAAACAAACGUGUUGAAAGCCUGCUGUGUGACGGUCACUUUGUCCUGUGUUCUGUUACCUCAUUUUAACCUCUCGAGGCCACUCCAAGGUGUUGUUCGCUUUACAAAGGAGGAAACUGGCCCAGAGACGCUUACCACAUUUGCCAGAACCACGCAGCUCGUACGGAGUUUAGGAAGUGAAAUCUCCCCAGACCUCCAAUCCUCUCUCCUUCUCCACGGUUAGAAGCCAGCCAUCUGGAGCAUUCUCAUCUUCCCACAGCCAAACCGCAGACCUGUCUAUACCAGCAUCUAGCCUGUCCUUUCCCCUCUUGUUCAAUGGAGAAAGCGUGCUUCUCGGUAUCACAUGGAUUCUGGAUCCCAGAACUUCUCUUGGAUCUGUUUGUAGGUUUGGCCUUGUCGGAGCAUGCCAACAGACAGCAGAAUCACCAGCUACAUUUUGCUAAGAGAGAUUGUGCCAAACUGAUGCACUUGACCGCCCGAGGAAACAACUCCCUGCUCUUCCAGGUUAACGAUCUCAAGUAGAUCAAUCAAUAUUGUCAGAGCCUGCGGUUGAAGUAAAUUUUACCCGGAUUCUGGCACAAGACACAGGAAAAGGAGACCAAGAAAGACAAGCUACAGGGGCCAUCCUCGGAACACAACUUCGCAAAGUGCUGGCUGGCAGCCUGGUCUCCAGAAGUCACGCUGACUUUAUCCUUUUAUGGGUAUAGAGAACAAUCCUUUUAUGGAUUGCCUCAGCCCCACUCCCCACGUCCUGCCAUCUUGAAUUCCUGGUCAGCAUUUGCCCUCCAGAGAAAGGUUGAACCUCCCAAGGCUGAGGUAACCCAUAGGUGGUCUGUGCUGUCCAGAAGAUGGCGUGGGGUCCCACAAAGGAGGUACGAUCUCACACAGCCAAAGGAGUCUUUAUGGAUGAAACCUGAACGGGACAGAGAGAGCUUUGACCUUCUGCCUAACACGUUGAGUCAGCUGGUAGUUGAGUUCAGUUGGUCUCAGAUGUCAAGUAGGAGACGAAGCAAAGAUGUUCGGCUUGCUGAAGUUUUCCUUUCUCCAUGGACCAGAUGUUCUUCUUUUGGAAAGAGCCUUGGAUUUGGAAUCGCAAAAACCUGGAUUUAAACCCUUUUCUGUCAUUUGCCCUAGCGACCUCCCUAAGCCCAAUGCCCUCGCCUAACCAGUGAAAAUCUCACAGUCCCCAGCUGAUGAAGCAACCAGCUGACAAGCGUCUGGAUACGCCAGCAACUGCGACUUGAGACUACAUGUCACCCAGUGCUCUGGGGAAGGGUGGGAGACGUAGAGGUGGUGGUAACUCAGGCUGGCCUGGAGGUCCCUGCCCCGGGGGAGGCUCAAGUCCUCCGUGGUUUGUGACCCAGCCUGGGCGAGGCAGGAAGUAUGGGGCCUCCUCAGGCAGAGGGCCUGUCUCCCCAGUUCAAACGUGAGCACCUCCAAAUCAGGGCCCCGUCUGCCUGCUCCCUCUGGUAGGGGCACAAUCUGUGUUUAAUGGAAGCAAGAAACACUACCGUUUUCCCCUUUUCCUUGUGGGGUCGCCCUGUGUGGAAUGACGUCUUUGACAACAUAGAGCUUGUCACGGUUGACAAACCACUUUCCUAUCCGUUAUUCUGGAGACCACCUGCCACCAGGAAGUCUCUCCUCCUCCCCACUGCUGACACCUAAGUGGUCACCAAGUCUGGCCAAUUCUUCCCUUUAUAGUCGAACUCGUCUGUCCUUCUGCACCUUCCCCACUGCCAUCACCUAGAUGCAGGUCUCUGUCGCUUCCUCCCACGACGGCUCCGUACCUGCCCUCCUCACUUCCCAGCUUGCCCUGUGCUAAGCCCCCUUUCUAUCCAAGAGUCAGAGAGAUCUCUCUAUCUCUCUUUUUUUAAGUGCAUUCAUUUAUUUUGAGAGAGAGAGAGAGCGCACAAGCCAGGGAGGGGCAAAGAGAGAGGG